UAUACGAUGUGAGUUCUGCAGAUUUUAGAAAUAGGGACAAAAGGGAAUGUGCGGUGAAAGAAAUAGCCAGUAAGUUUGUCCUCUAAAAUUGCCUCGGCCAGCAAUUCAUUUUGCGCCGCCAUCUUGGAUGUUUACUUUCGUAUACUACGCAUGCGCUGUUAAGACAAUCCGUAAGCAAAAGGCUUUCGUUCGCCGCACACGGAAAGAUUUUGGCACGCGAGGCAGAAAUUAUCAAACAUGUUUGAUAUUUGGCGUAAGUGUUUGAUAUUUGGCGUAAGUGGCACGAAUGACAAAAGUUGUUCGUAAAUCUCCCGCACACGAGAGCUAUCUCCUUACGCCAAUGGGCACGAAUGAAAUUUGGCUAAGCACAUAGCUCCAGUGUGCGCCGGCCUUUACGCCAACAGUCACGAAUGACAUUUUGCUAAGCACAUAGCUCUAGUGUGCGCCGGCCUUAACGGAAAGGUACAGUAGGUAGCUGUGACGCCGGGUGAACUUGGGCAAGACCUAAAUUUCAACAAAACUCGCCGAUAAAAUAUUGCCAAACACUUCUAAAGCGGCUACACAUAUUUAUGUUUAUUCAAUCUUGCUAACUUGUAAAAUCCUUUCCCUCGCUUUUCCUUGAAGAAUUAGAACAACUUAAUGUAAACUAAAGUACUUUCUCCGAACUCGUGAGUUGAUCUGCCCUGGAACCAAACCGUUAAAAACGUUUCGAACUUCGUAACCGCACCUCUCGUUAAAAUAUUUCUCCUCAACCCUCCUAAUCUAUUAACAUGCAGUUAAUAGCAUCUAUUAACAUGG